rnacentral:rRNA from 1 species
AGUGAACGCUGGCGGCAUGCCUAACACAUGCAAGUCGAACGGCAGCACAGUAAGUGCUUGCUCUUACGGGUGGCGAGUGGCGGACGGGUGAGGAAUACAUCCGAAUCUACUUUUUCGUGGGGGAUCACGUAGGGAAACUUACGCUAAUACCGCAUACGACCUACGGGUGAAAGCAGUGGAUCUUCGGACCUUGCGCGAUUGAAUGAGCCGAUGUCGGAUUAGCUAGUUGGCGGGGUAAAGGCCCACCAAGGCGACGAUCCGCAGCUGGUCUGAGAGGAGGAUCGGCGGCACUGGAACUGAGACACGGUCCAGACUACUACGGGAGGCAGCAGUGGGGAAUAUUGGGCAAUGGGCGCGAGCCUGAUCCAGCCGUACCGCGUGGGUGAAGAAGGCCUUCGGUUUGUGAAGCCCGUUUGUUGGGAAAGAAAAGCAGCAGGUUAAUACCACGCUGUUCUGACGGUACCCAAAGAAUAAGCACCGGCUAACUUCGUG